CUGCAACUCGACUCCAUGAAGUCGGAAUCGCUAGUAAUCGUAGAUCAGAAUGCUACGGUGAAUACGUUCCCGGGCCUUGUACACACCGCCCGUCACACCAUGGGAGUGGGCUGCAAAAGAAGCAGGUAGUUUAACCUUCGGGAGGACGCUUGCCACUUUGUGGUUCAUGACUGGGGUGAAGUCGUAACAAGGUAGCGCUAGGGGAACCUGGCGCUGGAUCACCUCCUUA
rnacentral:ncRNA from 1 species